GAGGCUGAGCUGGUGCUGAUGAGGCGCUGCUCUUUACGGGAGCCAAACAUUCGGCCAUGUUGCCACCAUGCUCUUAGCGUUCCCAACAUGGCAAGUCCAAGCACAAGCCCUCUGUGCAGCACCCCAUCCCGCAGUGCUCUCUGCACACCUGUACAGGACAUAGAGUGCAGUCCUAAAGCACGCGACAAGCUAAUAGAGAACGAGAAUGCGCAGACUCUACUUUUCCACCGGAGCUUUGUGAACUUUGUGCCGUUACAUCUCCAAAGAUUCUCCAAAGAAGGUCAUUCAACACACCAUCGAUUCCAGCAGUCCAUUCUGGGAGCUUGGGCCGCAGCAGCUCCGGAAGCAACAGUUUGAGAUUAUUGUCAUCUUGGAGGGCAUUGUGGAAGUAACAGGAAUGAUGUGCAAAGUGAAGACCUCCUACAUCGAGACGGAGAUCGAGUGUGGAGCCCGUUUUGAGCCGUGCAUAACACUUGAGAAAGGGGCGUUUCGAGUCGACCUGAAGCGCUUCCACAGCACAUAUCCGGUGCCUCUUCCGCCGUGCAGCGCGCAGGAACAGCAUCACCUGCAGACCCUCCCAAUGGGAGCGGAGCUCCAGGAAUCUCUCAAAGACGGUGCUGACUGGAAAUUGGUGGAAGACGACCAAGAAGACAACAUUGUGAACCCACCAGGAGCAUGCACUUUCACUAUCCACAACAUUCAGGAGGAGCGAGUGUCAGAAGUCAGCGAAUGCGAAUCUCUUUAGUUGUUGCCUCAGGUGUGGCAGUUGUACAGGUAUGUGCUGCUCAGGCUCCAGUCUGGAGGGAAGUCCUGCGUGGGGUGAUUCUUCAGGUGUUUCUGCAUGGCUGCCAGGCUGCUACAGAACUCCAGACACAGGGUGCACUGGUAG